AAAGGUCCACCAAGGAAAUGAAUUCUUUAGUCUAUUUUGCAGAUGAUUGUCUUCCAUCAUAUAAUCUUUUCUAUCUUGUAUGGAUACUUCACAAUUCACAUAAGAUCAUUGUUCAUGACAUUUCAUCAAUAAAGGAAAGAAUGUUGAGUUUGCAAACAUGUACAAAGAAUGUAUACGAAACUAUGCAGCAUCAUUGGGAGGCCAUGUGAAAAAUGGAUGUGGAGAGUUCAUUCUGGCAAGCUAAGGAGGAGAUCUUAUGUUUCCAUCCUAUUUACAAUUGAGCACAUGAAUGCUUGGUAUCACCUUUUUUCAGACUAUAGGUUGACCUAGAAAUUACAUGAUUCUUGUUCUCUCCUGGGACAAGAGAUUAUCGGGCGACAUUGAUGUUAUGCUUAUUGGCAAUGGUUAUAUCAUCUUCCAAUUUGGUAAUGAAGAAGACAAAGUUCGUGCGUUAGAAGGAGGGCAAUGGUUUCUUCUACAGACACAGUUCGUUGGCUUUAUUUUGUUUGGCCACUUAUGAACCAGACAAACUCAAAGGUGGAUUUACUAGCAAAGAAAAGUGCUCAACUUCAGACUUCCAUUUCAAGAGUUUAAAUCCUUCAUUUGUAAAGGAUGACAUUCUUUUUAUGUAUUAAUUGACAUGCUGAAGGUUCAUCUUAUAAAAAUUUUCAUUCUUUUUUGUUU